CCUACGGGAGGCAGCAGUGGGGAAUAUUGCACAAUGGGGGAAACCCUGAUGCAGCGACGCCGCGUGAGUGAAGAAGUCCUUCGUUACGUAAAGCUCUAUCAGCAGGGAAGAAAAUGACGGUACCUGAGUAAUCAGCCCCGGCUCCCUCCGUGCCAGCAGCCGCGGUCAUACGUAGGGGGCAAGCGUUAUCCGGAUUUACUGGGUGUAAAGGGAGCGUAGACGGUGCGCCAAGUCUGGAGUGAAAUGCCGCAGCUUAACUGCGGAACUGCUUUGGAAACUGGCGAACUAGAGUGCGGGAGGGGUAAGCGGAAUUCCUAGUGUAGCGGUGAAAUGCGUAGAUAUUAGGCGGAACACCGGUGGCGAAGGCGGCUUACUGGAUCGUAACUGACGUUGAGGCUCGAAAGCGUGGGGAGCAAACAGGAUUAGAUACCCCUGUAGUC
rnacentral:rRNA from 1 species